rnacentral:rRNA from 1 species
GACGAACGCUGGCGGCGUGCUUAACACAUGCAAGUCGAACGGAAAGGCCCUGCUUUUGUGGGGUGCUCGAGUGGCGAACGGGUGAGUAACACGUGAGUAACCUGCCCUUGACUUUGGGAUAACUUCAGGAAACUGGGGCUAAUACCGGAUCGGAGCUCCUGCUGCAUGGUGGGGGUUGGAAAGUUUCGGCGGUUGGGGAUGGACUCGCGGCUUAUCAGCUUGUUGGUGGGGUAGUGGCUUACCAAGGCCUUGACGGGUAGCCGGCCUGAGAGGGUGACCGGCCACAUUGGGACUGAGAUACGGCCCAGACUGCUACGGGAGGCAGCAGUGGGGAAUAUUGCACAAUGGGCGGACGCCUGAUGCAGCAACCCCGCGUGCGGGAUGACGGCCUUCGGGUUGUAAACCGCUUGCGCCUGUGACGAAGCGUGAGUGACGGUAAUGGGUAAAGAAGCACCGGCUAACUACGUG